CUCUCUCUCUCGAGGUGGCUCCUUCUGCUGGAAGAGAAAAGGGAGACAACUGCAGCCACACCCUGGCACCUGCCACCACUGGGGUGAAGAGAGGGAGGUAGGAAGACAGAAACACAGACAGAGAGAAGGAAACAUUCUUGGAGGCAAGAAGUUGAAAGGAGAAUUUACUAAGAAAAGAGUAACAGAAGACAAUUAGCCGCGCACCGUCAUCUCCAUUUACCUCCUUGAGUCCUUUAACUUUAAUUUCUACCUUUCUUUAAAAAUUUGAAGUGAGAUCAGAAUGCAAGGCGAAUGGAAAAGUAAUACUGAAUUAAGGUAUUGUAUCACUGGCAAACAAACAAUAAAAAAUAAAAAAAA